AGUGAACGCUGGCGGUAGGCCUAACACAUGCAAGUCGAACGGCAGCACAGUAAGAGCUUGCUCUUACGGGUGGCGAGUGGCGGACGGGUGAGGAAUACAUCGGAAUCUACUUUUUCGUGGGGGAUAACGUAGGGAAACUUACGCUAAUACCGCAUACGACCUACGGGUGAAAGCAUGGGAUCUUCGGACCUUGCGCGAUUGAAUGAGCCGAUGUCGGAUUAGCUAGUUGGCGGGGUAAAGGCCCACCAAGGCGACGAUCCGUAGCUGGUCUGAGAGGAUGAUCAGCCACACUGGAACUGAGACACGGUCCAGACUCCUACGGGAGGCAGCAGUGGGGAAUAUUGGACAAUGGGCGCAAGCCUGAUCCAGCCAUACCGCGUGGGUGAAGAAGGCCUUCGGGUUGUAAAGCCCUUUUGUUGGGAAAGAAAAGCAGCAGGUUAAUACCCCGCUGUUCUGACGGUACCCAAAGAGUAAGCACCGGCUAACUUCGUG
rnacentral:rRNA from 1 species